AGUCGAACGGUGAAGCCCCGCUUGCGGGGUGGAUCAGUGGCGAACGGGUGAGUAACACGUGAGCAACCUGCCCUGGACUCUGGGAUAAGCGCUGGAAACGGCGUCUAAUACUGGAUACGAGUAGCGAUCGCAUGAUCAGCUGCUGGAAAGAUUUUUUGGUCUGGGAUGGGCUCGCGGCCUAUCAGCUUGUUGGUGAGGUAAUGGCUCACCAAGGCGUCGACGGGUAGCCGGCCUGAGAGGGUGACCGGCCACACUGGGACUGAGACACGGCCCAGACUCCUACGGGAGGCAGCAGUGGGGAAUAUUGCACAAUGGGCGGAAGCCUGAUGCAGCAACGCCGCGUGAGGGAUGACGGCCUUCGGGUUGUAAACCUCUUUUAGCAAGGAAGAAGCCUUCGGGUGACGGUACUUGCAGAAAAAGCGCCGGCUAACUACGUGCCAGCAGCCGCGGUAAUACGUAGGGCGCAAGCGUUAUCCGGAAUUAUUGGGCGUAAAGAGCUCGUAGGCGGUUUGUCGCGUCUGCUGUGAAAUCCCGAGGCUCAACCUCGGGCCUGCAGUGGGUACGGGCAGACUAGAGUGCGGUAGGGGAGAUUGGAAUUCCUGGUGUAGCGGUGGAAUGCGCAGAUAUCAGGAGGAACACCGAUGGCGAAGGCAGAUCUCUGGGCCGUAACUGACGCUGAGGAGCGAAAGGGUGGGGAGCAAACAGGCUUAGAUACCCUGGUAGUCCACCCCGUAAACGUUGGGAACUAGUUGUGGGGUCCUUUCCACGGAUUCCGUGACGCAGCUAACGCAUUAAGUUCCCCGCCUGGGGAGUACGGCCGCACGCUAAACUCAAG
rnacentral:rRNA from 1 species